rnacentral:rRNA from 1 species
GGACGAACGCUGGCGGCGUGCCUAAUACAUGCAAGUCGAACGAACCGCGACUAGGUGCUUGCACUUGGUCAAGGUGAGUGGCGAACGGGUGAGUAACACGUGGGUAACCUACCUCAUAGUGGGGGAUAACAGUCGGAAACGACUGCUAAUACCGCAUAGGACAUAGGAUCACAUGAUCCAGUGAGGAAAGGUGGCGCAAGCUAUCGCUAAGAGAUGGACCCGCGGUGCAUUAGCUAGUUGGUAGGGUAAAGGCCUACCAAGGCGAUGAUGCAUAGCCGACCUGAGAGGGUGAUCGGCCACAUUGGGACUGAGACACGGCCCAAACUCCUACGGGAGGCAGCAGUAGGGAAUCUUCCGCAAAGGACGCAAGUCUGACGGAGCAACGCCGCGUGAGUGAAGAAGGUCUUCGGAUCGUAAAGCUCUGUUGUUAGAGAAGAACAGCGCAUAGAGUAACUGUUAUGCGUGUGACGGUAUCUAACCAGAAAGCCACGGCUAACUACGUG